UACGGAGGGGGCAAGCGUUGCUCGGAAUCGCUGGGCGUAAAGGGCGCGUAGGCGGGAUGGCAAGUCGGUCGUGAAAUCCCUGGGCUCAACUCAGGGGGGUCGGCCGAUACUGCCGUUCUUGAGGGAUGCAGAGGAGACUGGAAUUCCCGGUGUAGCGGUGAAAUGCGUAGAUAUCAGGAGGAAUACCGGUGGCGAAAGCGACUCUCUGGACGGCAACUGACGCUGAGGCACGAAAGCGUGGGGAGCAAACAGG
rnacentral:rRNA from 1 species